rnacentral:rRNA from 1 species
UACGUAGGUGGCAAGCGUUGUCCGGAUUUAUUGGGCGUAAAGCGCGCGCAGGCGGUCUUUUUAAGUCUGAUGUGAAAUCUCGCGGCUCAACCGUGAGCGGUCAUUGGAAACUGGGAGACUUGAGUACAGAAGAGGAGAGUGGAAUUCCACGUGUAGCGGUGAAAUGCGUAGAUAUGUGGAGGAACACCAGUGGCGAAGGCGACUCUCUGGUCUGUAAACUGACGCUGAGGCGCGAAAGCGUGGGGAGCAAACAGG